rnacentral:rRNA from 1 species
CGUAGUUGGAUUUCUGGUCUGAUGCCCUGGCCCGCGCCAAAUACGGUGUGUGUGCCGGCUGUGCGUCUACCAUCCUUCUAGCAAACCUUCCUACCCUUCACUGGGCCGGGUUGGCGAGUUAGAUCUUUUACUUUGAAAAAAUUAGAGUGUUUAAAGCAGGCUUUUGCUAUGAAUACAUUAGCAUGGAAUAAUAAUCUAGGACUUCGGUUCUAUUUUGUUGGUUUCUAGUACUGAAGUAAUGA